GUGGGGAAUCUUGCGCAAUGGGCGAAAGCCUGACGCAGCCAUGCCGCGUGGAUGAUGAAGGUCUUAGGAUUGUAAAAUCCUUUCACCGGUGAAGAUAAUGACUGUAGCCGGAGAAGAAGCCCCGGCUAACUUCGUGCCAGCAGCCGCGGUAAUACGAAGGGGGCUAGCGUUGCUCGGAUUUACUGGGCGUAAAGGGCGCGUAGGCGGACAUUUAAGUCAGGGGUGAAAUCCCGGGGCUCAACCUCGGAACUGCCUUUGAUACUGGGUGUCUUGAGUAUGAGAGAGGUGUGUGGAACUCCGAGUGUAGAGGUGAAAUUCGUAGAUAUUCGGAAGAACACCAGUGGCGAAGGCGACUCACUGGCCCAAUACUGACGCUGAGGCGCGAAAGCGUGGGGAGCAAACAGGAUUAGAAACCCUUGUAGUCC
rnacentral:rRNA from 1 species